rnacentral:lncRNA from 1 species
CUAACACUGUGUGACGUGGGAAUGCCAGCAUCAGGGUUCAAACACGAGGAGUUACUGCUGCUUACUUGAGGGAGGCACAGUGCUCUCACUCUGUAAUAAUGCUGAUUGAUUGCCACACUAUUAUGGAUCCCAGCUCACCAGGAACCCAUGAGAAACUUCUCUUCGUACAACUACACCGACUUCUCAAAAAAGGUCUCAACCCAGUGGGAUUUUUAAGCCUACACAAUUUUGGACCUACGUGCAUGUUCAAGUAACAGCAAAACCCGUGGAACUUGUGUUCACAAACUGUUUAUUCUAGUGGGUUUUGUACUUGGUGACCACCAUCCAGAAACAAAGAGAGAAGAGCACUCUGAAAAUUGGAGAUUUAAGGGUUUGAAAAGUGUACCAGUAGGUGUUAAUCUGCAAAAAUACGUGUGGGAGAAAAGGACAGUGAAAUUAAGCCACCUAUUAAUACUGUACUUUAAAGGGCAAUAGGUAUCUUUAUCGUUAAAAUAAACUGAGAAAUCCUGCCUA